CGUAUCUGAAGUUGAACGAGCAUAUUAGACAAAGGUCACCAAAUAACAACCACAAAAUUAACUGAGGAUUAGAAGCAAGACCUACGAAUGAUGCAGACUUAAUGAGCACAAGCAAUUCAUUUGAGCAGAGAGAAGGUUGAGACUUGAUUAGAUUAGACCAAGUUUGCCCUGAAAGGAGGAGGAGGAGGAAGAGGCAGAAGGAAGAAGCAACCUCGCUCUGUAUGGGAGGACAAGUGGCACAGUGGAACCAGAGAGGUACAACUUCCAAAUCCCCAGUAAGAAGCUUACUAGGUGACCUUGAGCCAGUCAUUGGACAUCUCAGCUUAAUCUACUUCACAGGUUGUUGGAAGAUAAAGUCAGGGCGGGGCAGAAGAACUGUGUACACAGCCCUGAGCUUCAUGGAUUUAAAAAGACUGCUCUAAAUGUGGUGUAAAUUAUGUUCACUUAUGUAUACUAUUUCUAUUUAAAUUUUAAUAAUAAUUUACAAAUUUACUUCUGCAUAUACAU